rnacentral:rRNA from 2 species
UACGAAGGGGGCUAGCGUUGCUCGGAAUUACUGGGCGUAAAGGGCGCGUAGGCGGACAGUUUAGUCAGAGGUGAAAGCCCAGGGCUCAACCUUGGAAUAGCCUUUGAUACUGACUGUCUUGAGUACGGGAGAGGUGUGUGGAACUCCGAGUGUAGAGGUGAAAUUCGUAGAUAUUCGGAAGAACACCAGUGGCGAAGGCGACACACUGGCCCGUUACUGACGCUGAGGCGCGAAAGCGUGGGGAGCAAACAGG